GCUCUCUGAAGUCUUGUUUGCAGAACUGUCUGCAAGGCUGCUUGUCACCUUCGAAUAUACUCCAUCAACAUGCUGCCACUUCAUCUUGUUUAGGCUCUUCGACUGCUUUAUAGAAGGACACUGAAGUCCACAUCUAUCUCCUUGAGACAGGCAAAGAAACAAAUCCUUUAUCCUGUCUCAAAAAGAGCUGACAAGCUUUUAGUAGUGUUUAUCUUCACUGAAGGGUGAUAACCUUGAAAAUGAAAGUGAAAAGAGACUGAUACAAUUAGAUAAAGAAACCAGGACUCAAAGAUGAAGUAACUUGUUCAAAGUCUGGCAGCUACUAAGUGACAGAGCUGAAAUUCAAGCCACCAACUACAAGGUUCAUAUUCUGUUCACUUCAUCAGGCUGUUUACUGUAGGCAAAAAUACUAUUUUACAGCCAUAAUUAAACAACUUUCUAGCAAACGGCAUUUCUAUCAUUCUAGCACCACUAGCAUUAUCGCCUCUUCUCCCAUUGACAUAUUUUUUUAAGGCACUAACCUGGAAUUUCUUCUUCCAGUACAGAUGGACUAAGGGGGCGCAAACCCCCAAGAAACAUGAAGAAGCCAGGUGCAGUGGCUCAUACUUGUAGUCCCAGCUGCUUGGGAGGCUGAGGCAGGAGGAUCUCUUGAGCCCAGUAGAUUGAAUCUGCAGUGAGCUGUGAACGCACCACUGUACUCCAGCCUGGGAGACAGAGCAAGACCCUAUCAAAAAAAAAAGGAAGAGACAUGAAGAAAACUACACUAAGGCACACAAUAAUCAAACUGCUCAAAAUCAGUGAUAAAGUGAAAAUCUUAAAUGCAACCAGAAGGAAAAAGACAUUAUAUACAGAGAAACAACGAUAAGGAUGACAUUAGAUUUAACUUCAGUAAUAAUGCAAUCCAGAAAACAGUGGAACAACAUUUUUAAAGUGCUGAAAGAAAAAAGCUAGAAUUCUACUCUCAGUAAAAAUGUCUUUAUAAGAAUUUUUUUCCUUUUUUUCUUUUUUCCUUGAGAUGAAGUCUCACUCUGUUGCCCAGGCUGUUCUUGAACUCCUGAGCUCAAACAACUCUCUGCCUUGGACUCCUAAAGUGCUGGGUGGGAUUACAGGCGUGAACCACCGUGCCUGGCCAGGACAUUUUUGGACAUACGAAGCUGAAAGAGUUCAUCACCAGCAAAUCCAUACUACAAAAAAUGUUAAAGAAAUUCUUCAGGCAGAAGAAAAAUACCCUAUAUGAAAAUUUUAAUCUGCACAAAUAAAUGAAGAGAACCAAAAAUGGUAAUACAUGGCAUGAUUGUUAAUUUUAUGUGCCAACUUAGUGGCCAUGAGGUGCCCAGAUUAAACAUUAUUCCUGGAUGUGUUUGUGAGGGUGUUUCUGAAUGAGAUUACAUUUGAAUCAGCGGACUCAGUAAAGUAGAUUGCCCUCCCAGUGUGGAUGGGCCUCAUCCAAUCUGUUAGGAGCCUAAAUGGAAUAAAGUGUGGCAGAAAGGAAAAUUCACCCCUUUUGCUUCCUGCCUGUCUGGUUGAACUGAGACAUCUCAUCCCAUCUUCCCUAGCACUCAGAUUGGGAUUUACAACACCAGGUCCCUUGGUUCUCAGGCCUUUGGACUUGGACUGAAUUACACCACUGCUUUCCGCGGUCUCCCAACUCGUGGAUGGCAGACUGUGGGACUUCUUAGCCUCCAUAAUCAUCGGAGCCAAUUUCUCAUAAUAAACAUAUUUACUAUACCCUACUGGCUCUGUUUCUUUGGAGAACUCUGACCAAUACACAUGAGUAAAUACAUAAAGUAUUUUUUCUUAUUUACAUCUAUUAAAAGAUAGUUGACUGUUUACCCAACAGUAGUAACAAUGUGUUUGGGGGUUUAUAAUAUAUGUAAAGGUGAAAUGCAUAAUACUAACAGCAUAAAUGCAGGCAAGGGAGAAAAGGAAGUCUACUGUUAUAAAUUUAUUGUACUAUACAUGAAGUCC
rnacentral:lncRNA from 10 species